UACGUAGGGGGCAAGCGUUGUCCGGAAUCAUUGGGCGUAAAGGGCGCGUAGGCGGACUUGUAAGUCUGAUGUGAAAGUGCGGAGCUUAACUCCGUAAAGCAUUGGAAACUGUGAGUCUUGAGGACAGGAGAGGAAAGUGGAAUUCCUAGUGUAGCGGUGAAAUGCGUAGAUAUUAGGAGGAACACCAGUGGCGAAGGCGACUUUCUGGACUGUAACUGACGCUGAGGCGCGAAAGCGUGGGGAGCGAACAGGAUUAGAUACCCUGGUAGUCCACGCCGUAAACGAUGAGUGCUAGGUGUAGAGGGUAUCGACCCCUUCUGUGCCGCAGUAAACACAAUAAGCACUCCGCCUGGGGAGUACGGCCGCAAGGUUGAA
rnacentral:rRNA from 1 species